GAUGAACGCUGGCGGCGUGCCUAAUACAUGCAAGUCGAGCGAACAGACGAGGAGCUUGCUCCUCUGACGUUAGCGGCGGACGGGUGAGUAACACGUGGAUAACCUACCUAUAAGACUGGGAUCACUUCGGGAAACCGGCGCUAAUACCGGAUAAUAUAUUGAACCGCAUGGUUCAAUAGUGAAAGACGGUUUUGCUGUCACUUAUAGCUGGAUCCGCGCCGCAUGAGCUAGUUGGUAAGGUAACGGCUUACCAAGGCAACGAUGCGUAGCCGACCUGAGAGGGGGGUAGGCCACACUGGAGCUGGACCACGGUCAAGGCGCCUGCGAGAGGCAGCAGUAGGGAAUCGUACGCAAUGGGCGAAAGCUUGACAGAGCAACGCCGCGUGAGAGAUGAAGGCCUUCGGAUCGUAAAACUCUGUUAUUAGGUAAGAACAAAUGUGUAAGUAACUAAGCACGUCUUGACGGUACCUAAUCAGAAAGCCACGGCUAACUACGUG
rnacentral:rRNA from 1 species